rnacentral:sRNA from 2 species
UGUGCAGCUGUCGUUAACCGCUCGUUAACCUUUCGAAGGCAGUCUCGUUGCAAUACCGCUUUCUCCUUGACCACGGAUGAACUGGCACUGAGACGAGCGGAUGACGAAAAGGCCGGUUUGAACCGGCCUUUUUGUUG